UACAUAAAGAGCUAGCGUUGUCCGGAAUCAUUGGGCGUAAAGCGCGUGUAGGCGGUCCGGUAAGUCCGCUGUGAAAGUCGGGGGCUCAACCCUCGAAUGCCGGUGGAUACUGUCGGGCUAGAGUGCGAAAGAGGCGAGUGGAAUUCCUGGUGUAGCGGUGAAAUGCGCAGAUAUCAGGAGGAACACCGAUGGCGAAGGCAGCUCGCUGGGACGGUACUGACGCUGAGGCGCGAAAGCGUGGGGAGCAAACAGG
rnacentral:rRNA from 1 species